UACAGAGGCCCCAAGCGUUACUGAGAAUCACUGGGUUAAAGGGUGCGUAGGUGGCGCGUUAAGUCCGUUGUGAAAUCCCUUGGCUCAACCAAGGAAAUGCUUCGGAUACUGGCGUGCUUGAGGCUAGUAGGGGUCACUGGAACUGACGGUGGAGCGGUGAAAUGCGUAGAGAUCGGAAAGAACACCAACGGCGAAAGCACUCUGCUGGGCCGACACUGACACUGAGAGACGAAAGCUAGGGGAGCGAAUGGG
rnacentral:rRNA from 1 species